rnacentral:rRNA from 1 species
UAAGCGACUAAGCGUACACGGUGGAUGCCCUGGCAGUCAGAGGCGAUGAAGGACGUGCUAAUCUGCGAUAAGCGUCGGUAAGGUGAUAUGAACCGUUAUAACCGGCGAUUUCCGAAUGGGGAAACCCAGUGUGAUUCGUCACACUAUCAUUACGUGAAUACAUAGCGUAAUGAAGCGAACCGGGGGAACUGAAACAUCUAAGUACCCCGAGGAAAAGAAAUCAACCGAGAUUCCCCCAGUAGCGGCGAGCGAACGGGGAGCAGCCCAGAGUCUGAAUCAGCUUGUGUGUUAGUGGAACGGUCUGGAAAGUCCGACGGUACAGGGUGAUAGUCCCGUACACCAAAAUGCACAGGCUGUGAACUCGAAGAGUAGGGCGGGACACGUGGUAUCCUGUCUGAAUAUGGGGGGACCAUCCUCCAAGGCUAAAUACUCCUGACUGACCGAUAGUGAACCAGUACCGUGAGGGAAAGGCGAAAAGAACCCCGGCGAGGGGAGUGAAAAAGAACCUGAAACCGUGUACGUACAAGCAGUGGGAGCCUCUUAAUGGGGUGACUGCGUACCUUUUGUAUAAUGGGUCAGCGACUUAUAUUCUGUAGCAAGGUUAACCGCAUAGGGGAGCCGAAGGGAAACCGAGUCUUAACUGGGCGUUAAGUUGCAGGGUAUAGACCCGAAACCCGGUGAUCUAGCCAUGGGCAGGUUGAAGGUUGGGUAACACUAACUGGAGGACCGAACCGACUAAUGUUGAAAAAUUAGCGGAUGACUUGUGGCUGGGGGUGAAAGGCCAAUCAAACCGGGAGAUAGCUGGUUCUCCCCGAAAGCUAUUUAGGUAGCGCCUCGUGAAUUCAUCUUCGGGGGUAGAGCACUGUUUCGGCUAGGGGGUCAUCCCGACUUACCAACCCGAUGCAAACUGCGAAUACCGAAGAAUGUUAUCACGGGAGACACACGGCGGGUGCUAACGUCCGUCGUGAAGAGGGAAACAACCCAGACCGCCAGCUAAGGUCCCAAAGUCACAGUUAAGUGGGAAACGAUGUGGGAAGGCACAGACAGCCAGGAUGUUGGCUUAGAAGCAGCCAUCAUUUAAAGAAAGCGUAAUAGCUCACUGGUCGAGUCGGCCUGCGCGGAAGAUGUAACGGGGCUAAACUGUGCACCGAAGCUGCGGCAGCGACACUAUGUGUUGUUGGGUAGGGGAGCGUUCUGUAAGCCGUUGAAGGUGGCCUGUGAGGGUUGCUGGAGGUAUCAGAAGUGCGAAUGCUGACAUAAGUAACGAUAAUGCGGGUGAAAAACCCGCACGCCGGAAGACCAAGGGUUCCUGUCCAACGUUAAUCGGGGCAGGGUGAGUCGACCCCUAAGGCGAGGCCGAAAGGCGUAGUCGAUGGGAAACAGGUUAAUAUUCCUGUACUUGGUGUUACUGCGAAGGGGGGACGAGAAGGCUAUGUUAGCCGGGCGACGGUUGUCCCGGUUCAAGCAUGAAGGCGGAGGUUCCAGGUAAAUCCGGUACCUUUUAACGCUGAGGUGUGAUGACGAGGCACUACGGUGCUGAAGUAACAAAUGCCCUGCUUCCAGGAAAAGCCUCUAAGCAUCAGGUAACACGAAAUCGUACCCCAAACCGACACAGGUGGUCAGGUAGAGAAUACCAAGGCGCUUGAGAGAACUCGGGUGAAGGAACUAGGCAAAAUGGUGCCGUAACUUCGGGAGAAGGCACGCUGAUAUGUAGGUGAAGUGAUUUACUCAUGGAGCUGAAAUCAGUCGAAGAUACCAGCUGGCUGCAACUGUUUAUUAAAAACACAGCACUGUGCAAACACGAAAGUGGACGUAUACGGUGUGACGCCUGCCCGGUGCCGGAAGGUUAAUUGAUGGGGUUAUCCGUAAGGAGAAGCUCUUGAUCGAAGCCCCGGUAAACGGCGGCCGUAACUAUAACGGUCCUAAGGUAGCGAAAUUCCUUGUCGGGUAAGUUCCGACCUGCACGAAUGGCGUAAUGAUGGCCAGGCUGUCUCCACCCGAGACUCAGUGAAAUUGAACUCGCUGUGAAGAUGCAGUGUACCCGCGGCAAGACGGAAAGACCCCGUGAACCUUUACUAUAGCUUGACACUGAACACUGGUCCUUGAUGUGUAGGAUAGGUGGGAGGCUUUGAAGUGUGGACGCCAGUCUGCAUGGAGCCAACCUUGAAAUACCACCCUUUAAUGGCUGGUGUUCUAACGUGGACCCGUAAUCCGGGUUGCGGACAGUGUCUGGUGGGUAGUUUGACUGGGGCGGUCUCCUCCUAAAGAGUAACGGAGGAGCACGAAGGUUAGCUAAUCCUGGUCGGACAUCAGGAGGUUAGUGCAAAGGCAUAAGCUAGCUUGACUGCGAGAGUGACGGCUCGAGCAGGUGCGAAAGCAGGUCUUAGUGAUCCGGUGGUUCUGAAUGGAAGGGCCAUCGCUCAACGGAUAAAAGGUACUCCGGGGAUAACAGGCUGAUACCGCCCAAGAGUUCAUAUCGACGGCGGUGUUUGGCACCUCGAUGUCGGCUCAUCACAUCCUGGGGCUGAAGUAGGUCCCAAGGGUAUGGCUGUUCGCCAUUUAAAGUGGUACGCGAGCUGGGUUUAGAACGUCGUGAGACAGUUCGGUCCCUAUCUGCCGUGGGCGCUGGAGAAUUGAGGGGGGCUGCUCCUAGUACGAGAGGACCGGAGUGGACGCAUCACUGGUGUUCGGGUUGUCAUGCCAAUGGCAUUGCCCGGUAGCUAAAUGCGGAAGAGAUAAGUGCUGAAAGCAUCUAAGCACGAAACUUGCCCCGAGAUGAGUUCUCCCUGAGACUUUAAGUCUCCUGAAGGAACGUUGAAGACGACGACGUUGAUAGGUCGGGUGUGUAAGUGUAGCGAUACAUUGAGCUAACCGAUACUAAUGAACCGUGAGGCUUAACCU